rnacentral:miRNA from 1 species
CAACCCUCCUCAGUUAGAUCUC